rnacentral:lncRNA from 1 species
CUCCCCCAUGACACCAGGCUUGCAGCUGCACUGGCCGUAGCUAUCACACUGUGUGCUGAGAGAGCCCACGGGGUUGCAGCUGCAGGGCAGGCAGCCCUCCUCGCUCCCGAGGCGGUAGAAGCUGUCCCUGCACCUCUCGCAGUGGGCGCCGUCGGUGUUGUCCCGGCAGCCCAUGCAGUGCCCGCCGUGGCCGGUGGAGCGGUACAGCUCGGGGUCGAAGUAGCACUCCUGUGACCUCCCAUUGCAGUCACAAGGCAAGCACUCGUUGGCACUUUCUGCUGUUGCUCUCCUCCACGGCCGGUCAUUGAAGAAGGGAAGGCACUUCUCACAGUCAUCCCCAAAGGUGUUGUGCUUGCAGUUGCAGACCAGCUUCCCAAGCUCGUUCCUUAUGCACUCGCUCGCAUGGCCAUUGCAUUUGCAUCUUCCACCCACGGCAAAAUCAGAAAUCGCGUAGUAAUACGACUUGAGGACUUUGGGGUCAUUGAAAACUUCAUCUCCGAAGGUGUUGAGGCGGUUGAGGCUCACCCUAAUAUCGGUGGCCGUCACCCAUUCCUGCAGCACGGGGCUGUUGUCAAAGUUGUAGGCGCUGGGACGCCCCUCCAACGUUGAGAAAGCCACGUUGCCCCCAGUGAGGGGGGAGAUGUCACUGAACUCAUCCGUGCACAGCGCCUGCUGCUCGUCCUCCCCAGUCCGAAUAAAGCCCCGGUUGACUUUGUUGUAGGUGCUCUCACACGACCCGCUGUAAUACUGGUAGGGCACCCACGGGCCAUCCUCCCGCGUGCGUUUGUAGAUGGCGAAGCUCUCUGGCCGGCUGGUGUGGAACUUCAGCCGCACGUAGGUGAUGUCAAAGGCCUUUCCGAGGUGCAGGGUGAGGUUGACGGCGGCGGGGUGCUGCACGCCGGCCAGCAUGCUCUGGCUCUGCCACCAGGUGCUGUCGGCCUGGCUGUUGUAGUCGGUGAGGAAGGAGGCGCCGUGCCGCAGGUGGGGCUGGGAGGCGUCGCACAGGUGGCACGACUGGGUUACGCCGGUGACGCCGGUCUGCACGCAGUACUCCUCGGCCGGCGUGCCGCACGUGUUGGUGGCCACCACCGUGGCGUUGAAAGCGGCGUUGACGAACUCGGGCAUGCAGCGCUGCGGCCGCCCGCUCCGCUCCUCCGUGCACUCGUCCAUCGCCGCGCCGCCGCCGCGGGGCAGCGCCAGCACGGCCAGCAGCGCCAGCACCCGCAGCAGCGCCCGCCGCCCGCCAACGCCGCCCAUGGCUCGGCCCGGGGCCGCUGCGGAGCGCGGCUGUGCGGGGCUGCUGUGCCGCUGGGCCGGGCCGCGCCGCGGCGGGCGGGGCUGGCAG